CCCACCCGAGUUCCCAUCACCGAGUUCAUUGAGACCCAGGCUCUUCUACCUGGUGAUCUGGACAAGGCAGGCCUCAGGAGGCACCAGGACAAGAGAUGAGAUAGCGGGCAGGAUUUUAGUGACCAUAACAGGACAGAAGAGGGGGUUGGAUGCCCUGGAACUGAAAACAUAGAUGUCAUGAGCCAACAUGUGGGUGCUGAGAAGUGAACCCAAGGUCUGCAGGAAGAGCAAGUGCCCUUAACCGCCACACCCUCUCUCCAGCCCCACAUAAUGUUAAGUGAAAAGGAAGAGAAAGCCAGCUGGGAAACAAUGCUUCUUGGAACCAGCUUGCCCCAUUCACGUGAGACACAAGCAUCCAUGCUACUUGU